ensembl:lncRNA
CCCAGGUGUUGUGACAUACAUUAACUUACUUUUGCAUUCAGUUUGCAUUAACAGUAUCUUUUAGUAAUAAAAUAUCCCAGUUUCCUCAAAUUCGGAACAUACACAUACACAGACUAAAAGCCAUAAAUGUGUGAAAUCACAAUCAAAGCAUGGUUCGAAGAAUUCAUCCAUGUUCACAAACAUCUCAUUGCGUAAACUCAUUUGCUCAAGAGUGUUUAGUACAUCACCUCUCGCACCUAGUAAUCUCAAGAUGUCUUGGCCUAAUAUUGCAGCUGUGAUAAAAUUGUAUAUAUCGAGUUCAAGUUCAGAGUUCAGUAAUCUCAAGAUGUCUUGGCUUAAUACGGCAGCUGUGAUAAAAUUGUAUAUAUCGAGUUCAAGAUCAGAAUUCAGUGAUCCCUUUAAUCCAGUGAGAGGCUUCAAAGUUUUUCCUGUGAGAGUAGAGAGCGCCUCCAGAACAAGAUCUCUGUCCAUUAUAGACAUGGUUAGGGCAAGUUGCACACAAUGGAGUAAAUUAAAAGAACUAUUUUCUCCUCGUCGUUUUAGUGAAAAACUAGGGGUUGCUCUUCUAUUUAUAUGAACCGAAAAGAGGAAGUGGAUAUUUGUGCUUUCGGUUCUGCAGACCAUGGAAUGAAAUGGAAAUGGGGUGAGUGCCAUUGACAAGUGAAGUGAGUGCCAUUGAUUAUAUAAUUACAAUGGCACCUGUCAAGGGGUUGAAUUGCAGUUGUUGGAAGCAGGAAAAUGGAUAAACAAAAAGAUUAACUGAAAGAUAAACUUGACAAGAGCCAAGUAGUUAUGUAAAGAUGACUGGGUCAGAGCAUCUCUGAAAUAUGAGUGCAUUUGGGAAGCAAAGGCUAGACCAUCUGCUCCAAUCACAUACCUGCGCUAUUGUAGCCCAAAUUCCUGAAAAACACAAUGCUGGCCAUGAUAGACAGGUGUCAGAACAAACACCUUCUGUGUUCCUGCUGCUAAUGUAUUGGUGCCAGAUACCACAGGACAUGUUCAGAGGACAUGUGGAGUCCAUGCCUCAACACAUCAGAGCUGUUUUGGCAGCACAAGAGGGACCUACAUGAUGUUACAUAGUUGAUUUUAAUGUUGUGGCUGAUCUGUGUAAUCCUUUGCUUCUUGUAAGUGACAUACAUGUGUACAUUGAAACAUUAAAAUCUUGCUUUAUAACCACACGCCUUUUUCAAUCACGCAGUGAAACUGCAUGACCAUUGGUUCAUGAAGUUUGAUAGAAAUAAACCAAUGAGCCUAUUGUAAGCA